rnacentral:rRNA from 2 species
AGGACGAACGCUGGCGGCGUGCCUAAUACAUGCAAGUCGAGCGGACAGAAGGGAGCUUGCUCCCGGAUGUUAGCGGCGGACGGGUGAGUAACACGUGGGUAACCUGCCUGUAAGACUGGGAUAACUCCGGGAAACCGGAGCUAAUACCGGAUAGUUCCUUGAACCGCAUGGUUCAAGGAUGAAAGACGGUUUCGGCUGUCACUUACAGAUGGACCCGCGGCGCAUUAGCUAGUUGGUGAGGUAACGGCUCACCAAGGCGACGAUGCGUAGCCGACCUGAGAGGGUGAUCGGCCACACUGGGACUGAGACACGGCCCAGACUCCUACGGGAGGCAGCAGUAGGGAAUCUUCCGCAAUGGACGAAAGUCUGACGGAGCAACGCCGCGUGAGUGAUGAAGGUUUUCGGAUCGUAAAGCUCUGUUGUUAGGGAAGAACAAGUGCAAGAGUAACUGCUUGCACCUUGACGGUACCUAACCAGAAAGCCACGGCUAACUACGUGCCAGCAGCCGCGGUAAUACGUAGGUGGCAAGCGUUGUCCGGAAUUAUUGGGCGUAAAGGGCUCGCAGGCGGUUUCUUAAGUCUGAUGUGAAAGCCCCCGGCUCAACCGGGGAGGGUCAUUGGAAACUGGGAAACUUGAGUGCAGAAGAGGAGAGUGGAAUUCCACGUGUAGCGGUGAAAUGCGUAGAGAUGUGGAGGAACACCAGUGGCGAAGGCGACUCUCUGGUCUGUAACUGACGCUGAGGAGCGAAAGCGUGGGGAGCGAACAGGAUUAGAUACCCUGGUAGUCCACGCCGUAAACGAUGAGUGCUAAGUGUUAGGGGGUUUCCCGCCCCUUAGUGCUGCAGCUAACGCAUUAAGCACUCCGCCUGGGGAGUACGGUCGCAAGACUGAAACUCAAAGGAAUUGACGGGGGCCCGCACAACCGGUGGAGCAUGUGGUUUAAUUCAAGCACGCAAAAACCUUACCGGUCUGACUCCUCUGACACCCUAGAAUAGGGUUUCCUU